GACGAACGCUGGCGGCGUGCUUAACACAUGCAAGUCGAACGGAAAGGCCCCUUUGGGGGUACUCGAGUGGCGAACGGGUGAGUAACACGUGAGUAACCUGCCCUUGACUUCGGGAUAACUUCAGGAAACUGGGGCUAAUACCGGAUAGGAAUCCUUGCUGCAUGGUGGGGGUUGGAAAGCUUCGGCGGUUUUGGAUGGACUCGCGGCUUAUCAGCUUGUUGGUGGGGUAGUGGCUUACCAAGGCUUUGACGGGUAGCCGGCCUGAGAGGGCGACCGGCCACAUUGGGACUGAGAUACGGCCCAGACUCCUACGGGAGGCAGCAGUGGGGAAUAUUGCACAAGGGGCGGAAGCCGGAUGCAGCAACGCCGCGUGCGGGAUGACGGCCUUCGGGUUGUAAACCGCUUUCAGCAGGGGCGAAGCUUGUGGUGACGGUACCUGCAGAAGAAGCACCGGCUAACUACGUG
rnacentral:rRNA from 1 species